rnacentral:pre_miRNA from 10 species
GUAUUGUUGUCGACGCUUUCGUCAGUUUUGUCUUUGGUUGCUUGGCUGUAUGAUUGUAUUCGCAAUAUUAUAAAGCUAAGUUACCGGAGGCAAAAAUGAGGACUUAAAACAACGAAUCUAUC